rnacentral:lncRNA from 1 species
AGUAACACUCUGGGAGGGCUCAGGCCACAUCACGAAAUGUGACAGGAUAGCCUUGAACUCAUCAAUUGCUGGGCAGAAAACUAGCACCCAAAACCAGUUGGAAUAAAAUUACCCACCUACAGUGGAGCCAAGGCCCCCAGAUCCUUUUUGUCAGGGGCACCUCAAACUCAACUCCAAAAUUGAUCUAAUGAACUUUCCCAAACCACAUUCCCUUCUUGCAUUUCUGAGAGAAUGGAUUCCCAUUCAUCUGACUACAGUGCUACCCUGAAAGCAGAUCCAGAGACUAAGAUUCACCUGCAGGUGAUUCAUUUGCAAGGUAAGCUGUCAUCAGUUGGAGGUAAGCAGAAGACAGUAGAGAGUACAGAGCCCUGGACUGUGACUCAGAGGAUGAGCACCAGAUCCAGUUUGCUGUGCCACAGUGCUCAGCAUGAUGUAAACUCCACUGCGGACAGAUGCAGCCAAGAAGACAGGUCACCUUCUACCAACUCCCACCAGAGGAAACUCUUCCCCAGGACCCAGUACGUUGGCCCUCUGACCCUGCACACAGCACAUGAUGCUGAGGUUCAGUGCUGAACAAGAGCUACUGAGAGCCAGAGAUUCACUUCUUCCAUGGAGCCCCACUCAUGGAUGGAGGCUCUGUCCCGGGUCCAGUGCCACUGGGAACACUGGGUCUCUGGUUUCUAGCUCUGUCCUAUGGCAGAGGUUCCACCCCACAAUAACCGAAGUGCUGAGAAGGUGGGAAGCUCCUGCCCGACCCUCCACUGAGAGCUCAGCUCCUAGGCUGAGGAAUAAAACAGCUCAACUUUGUCUACACCUGCAGAACCUUGUUUAGGAGCUCUGUCCCAGGAGAGAGGGGGCAAUGGAAUUCAGUCAUAAAAUAUGAUCCUUAAUUAGUCCUAAAAAUCCUAACUUCAGUAACAGCAGAUUGUGGACAAAUUGAAAGCCUGCCAGUGCUCUCAAAAACAGUGGAUGGUGUGGUGGAAAGCCCUUGGAAGGAGACGGGUGGAUGCAUGGGAGAUGCAGGCUACACUGCAGGGCUGCUGGCUUGCAGGAGAGAACCGAGGACAAGGGAGAGCUGGGGAAAGUUCUCUUGUGGUUGAAAUAAAUGCCAGACACUCUUCAAU